rnacentral:rRNA from 1 species
CCGGGAUAACAUUCGGAAACGAAUGCUAAGACCGGAUACGCAAGAGGGAGGCAUCUUCCUGUUGGGAAACACGGAGCAAUCUGUGGCUUGCGGAUGGGCCUGCGGCGCAUUAGCUAGUUGGUGGGGUAACGGCUCACCAAGGCGACGAUGCGUAGCCGACCUGAGAGGGUGAACGGCCACACUGGGACUGAGACACGGCCCAGACUCCUACGGGAGGCAGCAGUAGGGAAUCUUCCACAAUGGGCGCAAGCCUGAUGGAGCAACGCCGCGUGAGUGAGGAAGGCCUUCGGGUCGUAAAGCUCUGUUGCCAGGGAAGAAUAAGGGUGAGGUGACUACUCACCCGAUGACGGUACCUGAGAAGAAAGCCCCGGCUAACUACGUGCCAGCAGCCGCGGUAAUACGUAGGGGGCGAGCGUUGUCCGGAAUUAUUGGGCGUAAAGCGCGCGCAGGCGGUUUCUUAAGUCUGGUGUUUAAGUGCGGGGCUCAACCCCGUGACGCACUGGAAACUGGGAGACUUGAGUGCAGGAGAGGAGAGCGGAAUUCCACGUGUAGCGGUGAAAUGCGUAGAGAUGUGGAGGAACACCAGUGGCGAAGGCGGCUCUCUGGACUGUAACNGACG